GAUGAACGCUAGCGACAGGCUUAACACAUGCAAGUCGAGGGGCAGCAUGAGGUAGCAAUACCUUGAUGGCGACCGGCGCACGGGUGAGUAACGCGUAUGCAACCUGCCCGAUACCGGGGUAUAGCCCAUGGAAACGUGGAUUAACACCCCAUAGUACUUUUAUCCUGCCUGGGAUGGGAGUUAAAUGUUCAAGGUAUCGGAUGGGCAUGCGUCCUAUUAGUUAGUUGGCGGGGUAACAGCCCACCAAGACGAUGAUAGGUAGGGGUUCUGAGAGGAAGGUCCCCCACAUUGGAACUGAGACACGGUCCAAACUCCUACGGGAGGCAGCAGUGAGGAAUAUUGGUCAAUGGACGAGAGUCUGAACCGGCCAAGUCGCGUGAGGGAAGACUGCCCUAUGGGUUGUAAACCUCUUUUAUAAGGGAAGAAUAAGUUCUACGUGUAUAAUGAUGCCUGUACCUUAUGAAUAAGCAUCGGCUAACUCCGUGCCAGCCGCCGCGGUAA
rnacentral:rRNA from 1 species